rnacentral:tRNA from 1 species
UCAGGGGUCGUUCAAUGGCAGGACAUCAGAUUUUGGUUCUGAUUAUCGGGGUUCGAAUCCCUGCCCCUGAGCCA